rnacentral:tmRNA from 1 species
CGGGAUACGGAUGCUUUUCGCCAGUCCCGCUACGAAAACCAAAGGAAAGGCUAAGCGUGUAGAAACCUUUUUUGCUACUUGUUUGGACGGCGGUUCGAUUCCGCCCGGUUCCACAA